rnacentral:rRNA from 1 species
AUACGUAGGUGGCAAGCGUUGUCCGGAAUUAUUGGGCGUAAAGCGCGUGCAGGUGGCUCCUUAAGUCUGCUGUGAAAGCCCCCGGCUCAACCGGGGAGGGGCAUUGGAAACUGGGGAACUUGAGUGCAGAAGAGGAUAGUGGAAUUCCAGGUGUAGCGGUGAAAUGCGUAGAGAUUUGGAGGAACACCAGUGGCGAAGGCGACUGUCUGGUCUGUAACUGACACUGAGGCGCGAAAGCGUGGGGAGCAAACAGGAUUAGAUACCCUGGUAGUCCACGCCGUAAACGAUGAGUGCUAAGUGUUGGGGGGUUUCCGCCCCUCAGUGCUGCAGCUAACGCAUUAAGCACUCCGCCUGGGGAGUACGGUCGCAAGAAUGAAACUCAAAUGAAUUGGCGGGG